GAUGAAGAACGCAGCGAAAUGUGAUAAGUAGUGUGAAUUGCAGAAUUCAGUGAAUCAUCGAAUCUUUGAACGCACAUUGCGCCCCUUGGUAUCCCGAGGGGCAUGCCUGUUCGAGCGUCAUUUCACCACUCAAGCCUGGCUUGGUGUUGGGCGACGUCCUCUUUGGGGACGCGCCUCGAAACGCUCGGCGGCGUGGCACCGGCUUUAAGCGUAGCAGAAUCUUUCGCUUUGGAAGUCGGGGCCCCGUCUGCCGGAAGACCUGCUCGCAAGGUUGACCUCGGAUCAGGCAGGGAUACCCGCUGAACUUAAGCAUAUCAAUAAGCGGAGGA
rnacentral:misc_RNA from 1 species